AUUGAACGCUGGCGGCAUGCCUUACACAUGCAAGUCGAACGGUAACAGGUUAAGCUGACGAGUGGCGAACGGGUGAGUAAUAUAUCGGAACGUGCCCAGUCGUGGGGGAUAACUGCUCGAAAGGGCAGCUAAUACCGCAUACGACCUGAGGGUGAAAGCGGGGGAUCGCAAGACCUCGCGCGAUUGGAGCGGCCGAUAUCAGAUUAGGUAGUUGGUGGGGUAAAAGCCUACCAAGCCAACGAUCUGUAGCUGGUCUGAGAGGACGACAAGCCACACGGGGACUGAGACACGGCCCAGACUCCUACGGGAGGCAGCAGUGGGGAAUUUUGGACAAUGGACGCAAGUCUGAUCCAGCCAUGCCGCGUGCGGGAAGAAGGCCUUCGGGUUGUAAACCGCUUUUGUCAGGGAAGAAAAGGUUCUGGUUAAUACCUGGGACUCAUGACGGUACCUGAAGAAUAAGCACCGGCUAACUACGUGCCAGCAGCCGCCGUAAAAC
rnacentral:rRNA from 1 species